GACUUUAAAAUCUGGUUUAAGAGCAAAAAAACUACCUGUGCCAAUCAGUUUUUGCCAUUUAUGGGCUUUACCCUAUAAAAGAAAACCAUUUUAUGCAUUUAAAUGACCUUACACGUUAUCAGUUUAUUAAGCGUUUAGACUAUGUAGACACACUCACUGUGCACUAAAAUUAAAAAAAAUUGGUUAACACGACCACUCGUGGUGGCUUCACUCAGAGGUUGGAGAAGACAACCGGUGGACUAAACAUCAAGCCUCUGCACGAUUCAGAAUUAAGACAACCUUAGCAGGAGAGCCCCAGCAGUAACUUUCUCUCAAGCAGAUGAGCAAUAAGUUGCUUUGUAUGAACACCACCCUAACAAUCAAGUAGCCUGUUAACAGUAGACCAAAGGUAUGAUGAUCAAUUAUAAAUGCAAUAUGGUUGAAAGCUUGACAAAAAUGUAGCUUGAAGGAGAAGGGACAGCUGAGUAACAAAGUCCUGGUAUGCAGACGACGAUACUAUUACACUGACAAGAGUGUAAUGAUGAUGGAGACACAAGCCAGAGAAAGGGGGGACCAAACACCAGGCCAGAAUUCUGCAUGAGUCAGAUCCAGUGGGUGCAGAUCAUCAUACAGAUGGUUCAAGUGUGGAUCCACCUAAUAUUCAAGAUUUUCUGUCCUGGGACACUCGGCUAACCAUCAAGAAAGAACACACUCCAGUGGGCAUCCUUUAUCCAUCCAGACCCUCAUACAGAUGGUUGGAGUUUUGAUUCACCUAAAGUACCAUGCAAGAGCACUCAUUUUCCCUCUUGAGACCAUGGUGUGACCUGCAAGGUCGAAUGGAGACUGUAAGCGAGACAAUCUUGGAGUCACCUGCAUUCACUGGUCCAGUUGUUAGUCCAAUUACAGAUGGAGAUUAUAGAAGAGGAUGAUGUCUUUUCUCCAACAUCUUUCUAGACUGAUAAAAGAUCUAGACAGGCUUGAACAAAAGUUAACAGAGGGGCUUAUAUAGAGAAUGGUGAGCAGCUACACAUAAAAGAAGAACAUGGAGAAUCUGCCCAGAGGUGUUAACCAGCAAUGCAGCUAUACAACUAAAGUGAUGCAGGCGGAAACAAUGUGUGUAUGUUAUGUCCAAAUGUUGUUAUGUUCAAAUGUUU